rnacentral:rRNA from 1 species
GAUGAACGCUGGCGGCGUGCCUAAUACAUGCAAGUCGAGCGAACAGAUGAGGAGCUUGCUCCUCUGACGUUAGCGGCGGACGGGUGAGUAACACGUGGAUAACCUACCUAUAAGACUGGGAUAACUUCGGGAAACCGGAGCUAAUACCGGAUAAUAUAUUGAACCGCAUGGUUCAAUAGUGAAAGACGGUUUUGCUGUCACUUAUAGAUGGAUCCGCGCCGCAUUAGCUAGUUGGUAAGGUAACGGCUUACCAAGGCAACGAUGCGUAGCCGACCUGAGAGGGUGAUCGGCCACACUGGAACUGAGACACGGUCCAGAGUCCUACGGGAGGCAGCAGUAGGGAAUCUUCCGCAAUGGGCGAAAGCCUGACGGAGCAACGCCGCGUGAGUGAUGAAGGUCUUCGGAUCGUAAAACUCUGUUAUUAGGGAAGAACAAAUGUGUAAGUAACUAUGCACGUCUUGACGGUACCUAAUCAGAAAGCCACGGCUAACUACGU